rnacentral:misc_RNA from 1 species
GAUGAAGAACGUAGCGAAAUGCGAUAAGUAGUGUGAAUUGCAGAAUUCAGUGAAUCAUCGAAUCUUUGAACGCACAUUGCGCCCCUUGGUAUCCCGAGGGGCAUGCCUGUUCGAGCGUCAUUUCACCACUCAAGCCUGGCUUGGUGUUGGGCGACGUCCCCUUUAGGGACGCGCCUCGAAACGCUCGGCGGCGUGGCACCGGCUUUAAGCGUAGCAGAAUCUUUCGCUUUGGAAGUCGGGGCCCCGCCUGCCGGAAUACCUACUCGUAAGGUUGACCUCGGAUCAGGCAGGGAUACCCGCUGAACUUAAGCAUAUCAAUAAGCGAGGA